AUCUUGACACAGCAGCUGAAGUCGGAGACCUGGCGCUGAACAAAGAUAUGUUGUUGAUACAGCACAGUCGGUGUCGGUACAGUGUCUGACCAUUUAACGUUGCAUCUGGGUCGCGGUUAUCCUAAGCGUAAUUUAGUUCGUUUAGUAAGUUUAGUAAUACAUCGGUAUACCAUCGGCCCCGGGAAUUCCCUCGGGUGAGAGCUGUUCAUUCCCGAAGAGGGCCGUUGUUUUCAUCCGUUCGUCGUUUGGCAAAAAAAAUGGAGGUCCAGUCGUGUUGCGGUUGUUUCUCGCUGAAACCGGGAACGAUCACCGUCGGGGUACUUUGCACGAUCUUGUCGAUCGUUGCAAUUGUGAUGGAUUAUUCCCAAAUCGUGGGCCGCGAGCAUUUGCCUAACGCCAGCUGGUACUUUAUGAUGAUAAGUUCCGGCCUUAGUGUGCUGUUCUCGAUCUUGCUGAUAGUCGCCGUUCUUACGGACCACGUAUUUCUGUUGUUACCAUGGCUGUUUCUGUACAUAUGGAUAAUUGUUGGCACGAUCAUUGGAUUCGUCUACAUGAUCACUCUGUACUCUGUAAAUGGUUACAUAUGGUUUGGCCUAAUUUUGUUUGCCUUUGGUGUCGCACUUAUCAUGAUCAUGAUGUACGCGUGGGUAAUCGUGUACAGCUACUUACGAAAAGUGAAACGCGACAGGAUGACUGGCAAGAUCCUGAUGCCUUACGACAACCAAUUCGCGUGUCAUAACCCUUAAAUAUUCACGGAGACGAAUCGAUUACCUGGCGUGAAGAAGAUCGCGAUCAACGAAUCCUGCCGUCAUCGAGUGACUAAUUGAUCGUAGAGUUUAGUUGCUAAAUUGAAUUACCGCAGUCACGGAAAAAUACGAAACACUCUCGUCUUCCAUCGACGGUAUUUCCAUUGAAUAUAAUCGUUCUUGUAAUCGUGAAAGAUAAAUUCGAUUAUUAUUUCAGUCAUCGUUGUCAUCGUCGCUGUUAUUGUUAUCUCUUCAAGUACAGAAAUGUGUUUUUCGAAGUUUACUAGCUAAUAAAUGAAAUGUGAAUGACGAUGAUAAUACAGAAACCAAAGUAAAGACAGGUCAAAAUACAUGAUCUACAUUUAUAUGUAUUUUUUAUACAACUUUUAUAUAAAGCGUUAACAUUUAUAAUAAACAUACGACGCUUAUUAUUGUCCCAUGACAAGUUUAGUUAUACUAAAGGUACAUUAUACAUACUUUCGUAUUCGUUUCAUAGCUUGUUGAUUUUUAUUUUACUAUUAAGUCGUUCGUGCGCUAAUGUAUUACAUUAAUAUACAUUUUAUACAAAAUGGAGAGUGUCGUUAUUAAAUAUUAGAUGCACCUGCGAGAUACGCGUAGAGACACAAGUGUACGCCGGGUUGCGUGACUUCAGGGGCAAAGAACCAAUCCUCGUUAUUCCAAAGAAUAUUUCUACUCGCUGUUAUUCAAAUGAUAUUUUCUCUCAGCAGAUAAUUGUAUUAAAAUCACGAGCGGUAUAUAACUAUAAUAUUAUUAAGUCUCGGGUGAAAAAUAAAGAUUUAUAACUCUGUAACUGUACGUCACGAUGACACGAUUGAAUCCCGCUCGAAUAAUGUAAAUUUAUCAGCGUGUAUCUUUAGCCGACACGAUUGAUUUCGGUGUAAAUAGAAUAUAUACGCGUUUCUUGAAUGGAAUUGCGGAUGUCACGUUUAACCUGCAGUUAAUUCUUUCGUUUCUUUUUUAAUGUUUCCUGUUGGAGUUUGUUACCUAUGAAGUUUUUACUUCGUAAAAAAUUUGGUGUUAAUCAGAAUUGGACAAAAUCAUGGACUGCGAUUACUCCAAGUUCCUUCUUUGAAAAAUGGUGAAAAGAGGAAACGAGAGAAACAAUUCCAGCAGACUUCGGGUAAUCGUGGUCCAGAGUUCUCAACUCUGUGUUAAUAGUUCGAGUAGCAAUGGACGACAAAUCGUAAGCGAGUAAGUCGGGAGAUGCCGAUCGGCGCUGUUCGCCACGACGUCGACGAUGGUGUGCGUCUGUUCGCCACCGGUGUAGGUGUACGCGUGGUAGGUCGUAGGUGUACAGCUUCGCGGUUUGGCGCGGCAGCGUACUGUUCUUGGCACAGUUUCUGACCAUCUCCUAUUGCGAGCGGACCGCGCUUGACCUAAGCGUAAUUUCGUUACGCCUCGCGGGACCAAAGAGUUUCUCUCGGACCUUUGCCUGUCUCUCUUUGUCUCAUCCUCGCGUCACCUCGGGCUUUUUCCUUAGUGCGAAUCGUCUCCUCAUCCUGCGAGGACCUUCGCUUUCGUCGGUUUCGUCGCUCGGAGCAAAAUCCUCUCGAUCAUCUCGUUGAUCCUGAUCUUCACUCUGAACGUCGAAUGGAAGACGAUACUGAUCGACUGGCUGGACCAGAGCAUCGUCAAGAUCAUUUUCGCGAUAAACCUCUGCAUGACGAUCGUGAUCUCGACGUUGCUCGUGAUUGGCGUUUUCAAG